GAGACCUCGCUCUGCCCCGCGUCCCAGCCAUGGCGACAUCCUCGGCCGCGCUGCCCCGAAUACUCGGCGCGGGUGCCCGGGCCCCGUCGCGCUGGUUGGGCUUUCUCGGGAAGGCGACCCCCCGGCCUGCUCGGCCGAGCCGCAGGACGCUUGGAAGCGCGACGGCCCUUAUGAUCCGCGAGUCGGAGGACAGCACCGGUAACACUGGGCGCCCAGCCGAGUUGGGUGGGAACGAGGAGAGGCCGGCAGCCGCGGGGGAUGCGAACCCUAGAGGGGCCUGGGCGCUGCACGCGGUCGAAACUGCGCGCUCCGCUGGGCUCCUCCCACUCCCGUGCUCGCCGCCGCUCGGUCCUGCCUGACGUAGCACAGCGGGCUGAGGCCACCGCCUCACCAUGGAUAGGAUUUCAACGACAAGAUUUUGAAUGAGCCCCUCAAGCACUCUGACUUCUUCAAUGUCAAGGAACUGUUUUCCGUGAGAAGCCUCUUCGAUGCCCGAGUCCAUCUGGGACACAAAGCUGGCUGUCGGCACAGGUUUAUGGAGCCGUACAUCUUUGGGAGCCGCCUGGACCACGACAUCAUCGACCUGGAACAGACAGCCACGCACCUCCAGCUGGCCUUGAACUUCACCGCCCACAUGGCCUACCGCAAGGGCAUCAUCUUGUUUAUAAGCCGCAACCGGCAGUUCUCGUACCUGAUUGAGAACAUGGCCCGUGACUGUGGCGAGUACGCCCACACUCGCUACUUCAGGGGCGGCAUGCUGACCAACGCGCGCCUCCUCUUUGGCCCCACGGUCCGCCUGCCGGACCUCAUCAUCUUCCUGCACACGCUCAACAACAUCUUUGAGCCACACGUGGCCGUGAGAGACGCAGCCAAGAUGAACAUCCCCACAGUGGGCAUCGUGGACACCAACUGCAACCCCUGCCUCAUCACCUACCCUGUACCCGGCAAUGACGACUCUCCGCUGGCUGUGCACCUCUACUGCAGGCUCUUCCAGACGGCCAUCACCCGGGCCAAGGAGAAGCGGCAGCAGGUUGAGGCUCUCUAUCGCCUGCAGGGCCAGAAGGAGCCCGGGGACCAGGGGCCAGCCCACCCUCCUGGGGCUGACAUGAGCCAUUCCCUGUGAUGUUCACUCUCCUCCCAAAGCAAACCACAGCCAAGCCUGUCUGAGCUGGGAGUCCCCUUCCCCAGCCCUGGGUCAGCGGCAUCCUCAGUCGUUGUUACUUACUCAGCUGAUGUCACAGUGCAGACAUCCACCGUUCCACCACAGAACCAGUGGCUGAGCGGACCAACGUUGCCAUGUGCGUUUGCUCUGUGGGGAACAGAGCACAGAGGGUGAGCGACAUGUGCAGAACGGCCCCUUGGCUGCAGUUAGGACCUCAGUGGCUGGUAUGGCCAAGCUGCUAGAAGAUGCUGCUGUCCCUGUGAUCCCAGCAGCCCUCCCUUCACCGUGACCCCUGACCUUUGUCAGGAAGGUGCAGUUUUUCUUCUCAAUCUAAAUGCCUUUCAGGUGGGCCGCUUCCUUGGCUACCUGGUUCCAGGGGGCUGUUUUGUAAUGAGAUGCUGCUGGCAGGCCACUCAGAGGCUCCCAGCUGGGUUGGUGGGACAGCCAGGCCAGAUGACCUGAUUCCAGCAAAAAUAAAACUCAGAUUUGGGCAAAAUGAGA